UACAGAGGGUGCGAGCGUUAAUCGGAAUUACUGGGCGUAAAGCGUGCGCAGACGGUUGCGUAAGUCAGAUGUGAAAGCCCCGGGCUCAACCUGGGAAUUGCAUUUGAGACUGCGUAGCUAGGGUGCGGAAGAGGGAAGCGGAAUUCCCGGUGUAGCGGUGAAAUGCGUAGAGAUCGGGAGGAACACCAGUGGCGAAGGCGGCUACCUGGACCAGCACUGACACUGAGGCACGAAAGCGUGGGGAGCAAACAGG
rnacentral:rRNA from 1 species